UUCAUGGAGAGUUUGAUCCUGGCUCAGGACGAACGCUGGCGGCGUGCCUAAUACAUGCAAGUCGAGCGGACCGACGGGAGCUUGCUCCCUUAGGUCAGCGGCGGACGGGUGAGUAACACGUGGGUAACCUGCCUGUAAGACUGGGAUAACUCCGGGAAACCGGGGCUAAUACCGGAUGCUUGAUUGAACCGCAUGGUUCAAUCAUAAAAGGUGGCUUUUA
rnacentral:rRNA from 1 species